rnacentral:rRNA from 1 species
UACGUAGGGAGUAAGCGUUGUCCGGAAUCAUUGGGCGUAAAGCGCGCGUAGGCGGCCCUGUAAGUCCGUUGUGAAAGUCAAAGGCUCAACCUUUGAAAGCCGAUGGAUACUGCAGGGCUAGAGUCCGGAAGAGGCGAGUGGAAUUCCUGGUGUAGCGGUGAAAUGCGCAGAUAUCAGGAGGAACACCAAUGGCGAAGGCAGCUCGCUGGGACGUGACUGACGCUGAGACGCGAAAGCGUGGGGAGCAAACAGG